UUUUUUUUUUUUUUGGUACAGAAUCUCGCUCUGUUGCCCAGGCUGGAGUGCAGUAGCAGGAUCUCAGCUCACUGCAGUCUCUGCCUACCGGGUUCAAGCGAUUCUUGUGCCUCAGCCUCCUGAGUAGCUGGGACUACAGGUGCGUGCCACCACGCCAGGCAGAUUUUUUGUCCGUUUUUAAAUUGGGUUGUUUUGUUGUUGUUCAGUUGUAGGAAUUCUCUCUAUAUAUUCUGUACAUUAACCCCUUUUCAGAUAUAUGAUUUGCAAACAUUUUCUCCCAUUCUGUGGGUUGCCUUUUUACUCUCUUAAUAGUAUCCUUUGGUACACAAAGGAUUCUAAUUUUGCUCAAGUCCAAUCUAUUUAUUUGUUUAUUCUUGUUGCUUAUGCUUUUGGUGUGUCAUGAAGCCUCUCUUCUAUGCUUUCUCCUAAAAGUUUUAUAGUUCUAACUCAUAUUCAGGUUUUUAAUUCAUUUUGAACUAAUAUUUGUACAUGCUGUGAGGUAGGAGUCCAAUCUUAUUCUUUUGACUAUGGCUAUCCAGUUUUCCCAGUGACAUUUGUUAUAGGGACUGUUCUUUCCAUUGAAUGGUCUUGUUAUAUUUGUCAAAAAUCAUUUAAUCAUAUAUGAGUUUAUUUCCAGGCUCUCUAUUCAAUUUCAUUUGUCUAUGUCUGCCUUCAUGCCAGUACCCAUGGUUUUGAUUACUGUUGUUUUGCAGUAAGUUUGUUGUUGUUUGUUUGCUUUCCGAGAUGGAGUCUCACUCUGUCAUCAGGCUGGAGUGCAGUGGUGCAAUCUCGGCUCACUGCAAUCGCCGCCUCCCGGGUUGAAGUGAUUCUCCUGCCUUAGCCUCCCGAGUAGCUGGGAUUACAGGUGCAGGCCACCACACCCAGCUAAUUUUUGUAUUUUUAGUAGAGAUGGUCUCCAACUCCUGACUUCGCGAUCCGCCCGCCUCGGCCUCCCAAAGUGUACGGAUUACAGGCGUGGGCCCCUGUGCCCGGCCUUUUUUUUUUCUUUGAGAUGGAGUUUCGCUCUUGUUGCCCAGGCUGGAGUGCAAUGGCGCAAUCUCGGCUCUCUGCAACCUCCGCCUCCCGGGUUCAAGUGAUUCUCCCGCCUUAGUAUCCCGAGUAGCUGGGAUUACAGGCAUGCGCCACCACGCCCAGCUAAUUUUUUUGUAUUUUUAGGAGAGAUCGGGUUUCUCCAUGUUAAUCAGGCUGGUCUGGAACUCUCGACCUCAGGUGAUCCGUCCGCCUCGGCCUUCCAAACUGCUGGAAUUACAGGUGUGAGCCACCGCACCUGGCCUUAUAGUAAAUCUUAAAAUCAGAGCCAGUGCAGUGAUUCAUGCCUGUAAUCGCAGUACUUCGGGAAGCCGAGGUGGGAGGCUCAGUUGAGGCCAGGAGUUCAAGACUAGCCUGGGAAACAUAGC
rnacentral:lncRNA from 1 species